rnacentral:tRNA from 1 species
UCUCUUGUGGCUUAGUUGCCAGAGCAUUGGCGCGUAAAGCCAAAGGUCCCGGGUUCGAUUCCCGGCAAGGGUG